UGCUUGUCUCAAAGAUUAAGCCAUGCAUGUCUAUGCACAAGCCGAAUACGGUGAAGCCGCGAAUGGCUCAUUACAACAGCCACUGUUUACUUGAUUCUGAUUAUCCUACUGGAUAACUGUGGUAAUUCUAGAGCUAAUACAUGCAACCAAGCUCCGACCGUAAGGGACGAGCGCAUUUAUUAGAACAAAACCAAUCGGGCUUCGGCCUGAGGUUUGGUGAAUCUGAAUAACUGAGCUGAUCGCAUGGUCUUUGUACCGGCGACGCAUCUUUCAAGUGUCUGCCUUAUCAACUUUCGAUGGUAGUUUAUGUGCCUACCAUGGUUGUAACGGGUAACGGAGAAUAAGGGUUCGACUCCGGAGAGGGAGCCUGAGAAACGGCUACCACAUCCRAGGAAGGCAGCAGGCA
rnacentral:rRNA from 1 species